GUAGUUUGGGAAUGCUGCUCAAAAUGGGAGGUAAACCCCUUCUAAAGCUAAAUACCGGCCAGAGACCGAUAGCGCACAAGUAGAGUGAUCGAAAGAUGAAAAGCACUUUGAAAAGAGAGUUAAAAAGCACGUGAAAUUGUUGAAAGGGAAGCGCUUGCGACCAGACUCGCGCCCGCCGGAUCAGCCGUCGCUUGUCGGCGGCGCACUCCGGCGGGCUCGGGCCAGCAUCAGUUCGCCUCGGGGGGAGAAAGGCGGCAGGAAUGUGGCUCUUCGGAGUGUUAUAGCCUGCCGCGUAAUACCCCCGGGCGGACUGAGGACCGCGCGUAUGCAAGGAUGC
rnacentral:rRNA from 1 species